rfam:Ictidomys tridecemlineatus contig031753, whole genome shotgun sequence.
GGGGUUGUGGCUCAGUGGUAGAGCACUUGCCUAGUAUGCAAUGAGGUACUGGGCUCAAUCCCCAGCACCA